AGAGUUUGAUCAUGGCUCAGAAUGAACGCUGGCGGCGUGCUUAACACAUGCAAGUCGUACGAGAAAUUUUCUGUUCGCAGAAGAAAGUAAAGUGGCGCACGGGUGAGUAACGCGUGGGUAAUCUACCUUCGAAUUGGGGAUAACAUUGUGAAAACGAUGCUAAUACCGAAUAAUAUCUUUUAAUUUUCGAAUUAUUAGAUCAAAGAUGGCCUCUACAUGUAAGCUAUUGUUUGAAGAUGAGCCCGCGUACCAUUAGUUUGUUGGUAGGGUAAUGGCCUACCAAGACUACGAUGGUUAGCUGGUCUGAGAGGAUGAUCAGCCACACUGGAACUGACACACGGUCCAGACUCCUACGGGAGGCAGCAGUGGGGAAUUAUGCGCAAUGGGGGAAACCCUGACGCAGCAACGCCGCGUGAGUGAUGAAGGCUUUCGAGUCGUAAAGCUCUGUCGAGUGGAAGAAAUUAUAUUGUAUUAAUACUAUAGUAUAUUGACGGUACCACUAAAGGAAGCACCGGCUAACUCCGUGCCAGCAGCCGCGGUAAUACGGAGGGUGUAAGCGUUAUUCGGAAUUAUUGGGCGUAAAGGGCGCGUAGGCGGUCUAAUAAGUCAGAUGUGAAAGCCCGGGGCUCAACCCCGGAAGUGCAUUUGAUACUGCUAGACUUGAGUAUGGGAGAGGGAAGUGGAAUUUCUGGUGUAGAGGUGAAAUUCGUAGGUAUCANAAGGAACACCGGUGGCGAAGGCGACUUCCUGGACCAAUACUGACGCUGAGGCGCGAAGGCGUGGGUAGCAACAGGAUUANAUACCCUGGNAGUCCACGCAGUAAACGUUGUUCACU
rnacentral:rRNA from 1 species